rnacentral:rRNA from 123 species
UCGUAACAAGGUCUCCGUUGGUGAACCAGCGGAGGGAUCAUUA